UAAGAUAUUUACACCAUGCAGAAACAGAAGCAGCACAAAAAAUGUUCGACACUCCAAAUUUCCAGCAGGUGUCAUUACAAUGAUGAAAAGAAUGUUUCUGCCGUUUUGUGUUCACAUUGUUGGACUCUGAUUCUCAGCUGUUCACGUCCCUGUGGAAAUCUUCCUGUGUUUGGCGUUCCCUUCCUGGCCUUCAGCUCCGUUUGAUGUGGCAUCUGCUAAUUAACCCUAAACACGUCGGUCCUGCACAGAGAUCCAUAGUACGCUAGCUAAUGAUGUUAAAGGGCCGUCUCUGCAGUCAUCCUGAACCUUUCAAGGAUGUGGCCGUAUCUGACCAGUGUUGGCCUUUGGUGCCAGAAAACUGUCAGUAGCCAGCGUCCAGCUUCACCUCGACCUCCUUUGGACUCGGCAUCAGUCCGUCCUGAUGCAGCUGCAGAACCAGGGAUUAUGUUACUUUGAAGACAGAGGGAAAACCGAACCACACGAGGUUCCACAGGUCUCAGGAGUCGGUCUGAGAGUUUUACUCCUCUUCAAGUCCUUUCUGUAAUGAAACAUAGGAAGAGAGUAGACAGAGACAGAUUAGUGACAGAGAAGGUAAGGGACUGAAGCGCUCUAAAAUGUUGUUAAAGUUUGAAGAUGUUGACAAAGACUCUUAAAUAACCAUCAAUAUUCCACUUUUAGAAGCAAAGAAAUCGUCAUUAUAACAUACCUGACCUGUUUUCUAAUCUUUAAUAUGUAAGUAAGUAAGUUUUAUUUAUAGAGCACUUUUCACAGACAGGGGGUCACAAAGUGCUUUACAGUGCAAGAUACAGUUAAAAGCAAUUAAAAAUACAGAAUAAGAUACAGUUUUAAAAUGCAAUUGAAAAUACAAUACACAAUAAGACUAUUUUAUCUGUGCCUCCAUAGGCAACAGUAAUUUUACAUAAUGAAUGUUUACUUUGCUGUCAUUCACAUCUCAAACUACACAAAGAUUCAUGGUUUAAAAAAAUAUAUAUAUUAAGAGUUCAUCAUACAGGAUCAUAACACACACUGACCUUAUUAUAAAAUUCCGUGAAGAAUUAAAGUGGUUGUAUGUAGUAUUGAUGUUCCAAACUCUUACCAGCAGGGGUCAGUCUGGUUCCAGAGCACACUUAGUUCUCCCAAAACCACCAAGGAAUUAAUCUUACGUAUCCACAGGCUGAAACAGUCCCUGAAUACAGUAUAAAGCUAAUUGUUUCCACACAUCUGUAUUAUGGAAUCAACAAGUUUUCCUUUUCAAACUAAAACUCAGACGCUUAUUUUAACAGUUGCUCAAAAAUAACACUUUCUUAUAAUAUUCACAAUAGUUUACAUUAUAGCUCUGUUUUUAGACAGUAAACAUCCACAGUAAAACCACUGGUCACCUCUGUUUUCUGUUCGGUUUGUGUUGUCAGUAGUUGAGCUAAAGAUCUGUUUGAAUCCAACAAACAAGGUCAGAAGUGUCACAGAUUAGUCUGAGCCACAGAUCAACAAAUGGCAAUUUAGCAACGAUGAGAACAUCCCAUAAUAACUUUAUACCUUCAUAAUCCUCAGAAUCAAACUCACCAGUGUAGAAGAUUCACUGACAUUUCAGCAUCAAACUCCAGUCUUUACAUUUACAGCUGAGUCCAGUGGAGAAAACAACAGUGAUUGUAGCUUUUAUCAGUGAGACAAAGUCUAAUCCUUUCUGUUCAUGACUUUAUAACGAGAUUAGUUUUCUUACAAAUCAGCAAAUAUGAUAACUGAAAUAUAAGAUUUAAGACAUAUUGCUUUAGGCUUAGGUUCUCAUUCACCUUAAAGCUAAAACACUUGAAUAAUAAGUCAGAUUGCACCAGUUUUAUAUUUUAGUGUCUGUUGGCUUUGACAGAAAAAUACACACAAAAUUAUAAAAUCAUAUAAAAACUUAAUUUUUGUUUUGGUGCAUCUUAAAUUCAUAAAAUUUAAUGACAAUCUGAAUAACUCUUUCUGUUUAUGUAUUAAUUAUUAUUAUUUACUAUUUUUCUUUUAUUUAUUUUAAUUUUAUUUAUUUAUUAUUGAUCAUAUCAACCAGUCCUUUCUUAAAUCUAUAAAACAUCCAUAAACAGUACAGAAUUUUAACCAGAAUAUUGUGUCACAUCUGUUUUGUGUCAGUUUGUGUUCACAUUUUAUAGUUUACUUUUAAGGCUCUAAACAAUAUUUUAGUUUUAAUCUCAGGUCAAGAAAAUCAUAUAUUAGAAAGUACAUCCUGGUUUUAGUUGAGUUGUUUUCUUGUUUUAUUCUAGUUAUUAUUCUAUAAUAUUAUUUAUUUUAUUCUAUAAUUACUCAGUUAAUUCUUUAACACAUCAUGUUUGUCUCAAUAUCACUGUUUUAUUUGUUUUGCUUUUGAUUUGUUUUCUUUAUUUUAUUAAUUUCACUCUUCACAUCCCUCAAAAUCUCUAAUAUAGACUAACAUGCUAUAAUUUUUUAAUACUUGAAAACAGUUUGAACGGACUAAUAAUAGCACAUUUCCAUUAACCUGCAUCAAACUAAAUCA